GCCUGGGUAGCUCAGUAGGUUAAGUGUCUGACUUUGGCUCUGGUCAUGACCUCACAGUUCAUGGGUUCGAGCCCCAUAUUGGGCU
rnacentral:tRNA from 1 species